UCUUGGUCAAUUUAGAGGAAGUAAAAGUCGUAACAAGGUUUCCGUAGGUGAACCUGCGGAAGGAUCAUUAAAAGAAAUUGGUUAUACAUUUCAUGUAUCAACUGUUUAAACCCAUUCUGUGUACCUUGCCUGUUGCUUCCAUGGAGCCUGACUUUGGUCACUCUUGUGAUGUAAAUCCCAAGGGAGUCCCCAUGGAAGGUCAUCAAUAAAACUCAUGUAUCCAAUGUCUUCUGUCUGAACUGUUUAUAACAAAUGUUAAAACUUUCAACAACGGAUCUCUUGGUUCUCGCAUCGAUGAAGAACGCAGCGAAAUGCGAUAAGUAUUGUGAAUUGCAGAAUUCAGUGAAUCAUCGAAUCUUUGAACGCACAUUGCGCCUCCUGGUAUUCCGGGAGGCAUGCCUGUUCGAGCGUCAUUAAAUACCUCUCAAGCACCAUUGCUUGGUCAUGGAAGAUGAGUAUGCUUGCAUUCUCCCUUCUGAAAUUCAAAGGCGGAUCAUCUCAUAUUCCCUGGCGUAGUAAGUGUUUAUCUUUCGCUUGGAGUGUGUGACAGUCUUGCCAUCGACCCCCAUUAUUUCAAGGUUGACCUCGGAUCAGGUAGGGAUACCCGCUGAACUUAAGCAUAUCAAUA
rnacentral:rRNA from 1 species